AAUAUAAUACAUAUAAUGGAUAUCUCUAAUAUAAAAUAGCUAUACAUAAUAUAUAAUAGAUAUAAUUAAUGGAUAUAUCUAAUGCGUGUAAUAUAUCUAAUAUGUAUACCAUAUAUUAUAACGAAUAUAUAACGAAUAUUGUAAUUAAUAUUUAAUGAAUAUGAUAUAGAGAGAGGAUAUUGGAGAUAUAACAGAUAUAUCGAAUAUAUAUAAUAUAUAUGAUAUAUAUAAAAUAUAUAUUAUAUACAAUAUAUAUAUCGAAUAUAUCAAAUAUAUAUUAUAUUUUAUGGACCUACUAUAGGCUAUUUAAUGAUUUAUAUCAUGCUAGAUAAACUAAUUUAAUUUAAUUAAUUAGCCGAAGGAAACCUAUAUAUUUUUAUAGAGAUAUUUGUAAAUCUAAACAUUAAUUAAUCGGCAGUAAAUAUUUCUAUAUUAACGAGAUUUUAAUCUUUAUAAAACUAAUUAUGCCCACUAAAUUUAUAGAAAAUUUAUUAAUUAUCUCUAUAUUAAUAGAUAGGCGAGAUACACAUUAGACAUUCUUGAUCGACAACCUAUAGGCCCCAAUUUAACCAAAUUCAGCCGUUUUUAGCUAAAAUCAAAAGACAUUAAAACGGACAAAUGAGGGGACAGGAAAACGCAAAAAUUAAAGAAAGCCACCCAACCUGCCCCCAAAAAUGCAAGAUUUGGGUCCGGAAAGGUGAAAAACUGCAAGUUUUUUUUAAUUUCAACCUUUCCGAAGGGAUUAAUUAGCACUAAUUAGCUUGAUUGAUUUUCCAAAUUUUACAUUAAGCCACUGAACCCAGUCCUCAAACCACAUUUAUUUGGCUUUUGCCCCAAUUCGGACUUUUUCAAAGAAAUUAGCGCUUCGCGCUUAACGAGGAUGGUGUGGGGACUUAAUGAGCUAGGUUAAUUAGAGGCUGCUAGGGACUAAUUGCACUAAUUGAUUGUUGUAAUUGGAUGAGUUUAAAUGCACUGGUUGCUGGGACUGGCCCAGUAUGGACCAGUAUGAGGGCUCUGGAACUGGAGAUACUAAACUGGAUGUACUGGGGCUAUAGGCUGCUGGUACUGGACCAGUACAGACCAGUAGAGGGGCUGUGGCACCAGUACUGGCUGUACUGGGACCAGUACGGGAGCUCCGGCCCCUGUACUGCCUGUACUGGGACAAGUACAGGGGUCCCGGCACCAAUACUGCCUGUACUGGGACCAGUACGGGGCCCCGGCACCUGUACUGGUGGUACUGGGACCAGUAUGGGAGCUCCGGCACCUGUACUGGUGGUACUGGGGCCAGUAUGGGAGCUCUGGCACCUGUACUGGUGGUACUGGGACCAGUACAGGAGCGCCAGCACCAGUACUGGUGGUUACUGGAACCAGUACAGGGGGUUCCGGCACCAUUACUGGUUGUACUGGGACCAUUAUGGGGGACCCAGCACCUGUACUGGUGGUACUGGGACCAGUAUGGGAGUGCCAGCACCAGUACUGGUGGUACUGGAACCAGUACAGGAGCUCCAGCAUCAUUACUGCCCAUACUGGGACCAGUGCAGGGGUUCCGGCACCAGUACUGCUCAUACUGGGACCAGUACGGGGGCUCCGGCACCAGUACUGGUGGUCCUGGGACCAGUAGGGGGCUGUGGCACCCAUUCUGGUGGUACUGG
ensembl:lncRNA